GGAUUCUCAGGUGUUGGUUGCCAUGCAGGGCGUAGCAUUUUGGAGGCCAGAAGAGGGUGCUCUGGCAUGUCCAGUUGAGAUAAGCCUCACCCCACUUGGCCACUGAAGCUGUCAGCCUUCCAGUCUGAAGAACUGGAUGAACCAGAAUGGCUCAAAUGUCAUCUCCUCCAAGAAGCCUUCUCAGACUGCCACCAAAGAGGCCACCAUAUUAUUCUGUCUCCUGAUCCUGUGUAGUUCCUUCAACCCUCUUGUCCCAGUUGAUCUGUUUCAUUGGGGUGUCUUCUUCACCCCAAGGCAUAAGUUUCAAGAAAGAAAAGAAUGUUGUUUGA